rnacentral:rRNA from 1 species
AGAGUUUGAUCCUGGCUCAGAAUGAACGUUGGCGGCGUGCCUAACACAUGCAAGUCGAGCGAGAGAGUCCUUCGGGAUGAGUAAAGCGGCGGACGGGUGAGUAACGCGUGAGAAUCUACCUUUCAAUGAAGAAUACCUUCGAGAAAUUGAAGUUAAUACUGCAUACGUCUCGUAAGAGAGAAAGAUGGCCUAGUUGCUGUCGUUGAAAGAUGAGCUUGCGUUCUAUUAGCUAGUUGGUGAGGUAAAAGCUCACCAAGGCGAUGAUGGAUAGCCGGCCUGAGAGGGCGAACGGCCACAUUGGAACUUAGACACGGUCCAAACUCCUACGGGAGGCAGCAGUGAGGAAUAUUGCACAAUGGGCGAAAGCCUGAUGCAGCGACGCCGCGUGGAGGAUGACGGUCUUCGGAUUGUAAACUCCUGUUAAGUGGGAAAAAAGAAUUGACUUUAAUAGAGUCGAGAGAUGAUGGUACCACUAGAGAAAGCACCGGCUAACUUCGUGCCAGCCGCCGCGGUAAUUC